AAAAUCACUGAGGAAGAUCAUAUCCUUUAUAUCCUCACUGGCCUUGGUCAGGAUUAUAAUCCUGUCAUUGUAGCAAUUUCCUCAAAAACUGAUGCGUACUCUGUUGAAGACACUCGUGCUCUACUGUUGAGUUUUGAAU